rnacentral:pre_miRNA from 14 species
GUCUAUUGUUGAAAGACCCCUGGAGCGGGGAGACCCUCACUCAAGUCUCAGGAUUACACGACGCCCCAAGAACUCACACAAAACC